AUUGAACGCUGGCGGCAUGCUUUACACAUGCAAGUCGAACGGUAACAGACCUUCGGGUGCUGACGAGUGGCGAACGGGUGAGUAAUGCAUCGGAACGUACCCAGAGGUGGGGGAUAACGCAGCGAAAGCUGUGCUAAUACCGCAUGUGAUCUGAGGAUGAAAGCGGGGGACCGAGCAGCAAUGUUUGGCCUCGCGCCUUUGGAGCGGCCGAUGUCGGAUUAGCUAGUUGGUGGGGUAAAGGCCUACCAAGGCGACGACCCGUAGCUGGUCUGAGAGGACGACCAGCCACACUGGGACUGAGACACGGCCCAGACUCCUACGGGAGGCAGCAGUGGGGAAUUUUGGACAAUGGGCGCAAGCCUGAUCCAGCAAUGCCGCGUGCGGGAAGAAGGCCUUCGGGUUGUAAACCGCUUUUGGCAGGAACGAAACGGUGUCCGCUAAUACCGGGCGCUAAUGACGGUACCUGCAGAAUAAGCACCGGCUAACUACGUG
rnacentral:rRNA from 1 species